rnacentral:sRNA from 1 species
UGAUGCUUUUUUGCACAUCUCCAAUCCCAGAUCUGACAAGAGGCACCGGUACAGCAUGCUGCACUCUCAGGAGUCUGGCAGCUCUGUCUUCUACCACUCUCAGGAUGAGGGACCCGGACCAGAAGGUGGAGACUGUGCCAAGAACUCGGGGGCACCCUUCAUCCUAGGGCAGGCCAAAAAUGCCCAGCUAGUCAGCGGAGACUCCACCACCAAGCAAGAUCUGAACCUCUCUCAGCGACGGAGGGCAUACAGCACCAACCAGAUCACCAAUCACAAGCCCCUCCCAAGAGCCACCACGGCAAGUGACCCCAUGCCAGCUGCCAAGAGAUACCCACUGCGGAAAGCCAGGCUGCAGGACCUCACCAACCAGACCAGCCUGGAUGUCCAGCGGUGGCAGAUUGAUUUGCAGCCCUUGCUGAACAGUGGUCAGGACCUGAACCAGGGCCCCAAACUCCGUGGCCCAGGGGCCCGAAGGCCCUCUCUGCUGCCCCAAGGCUGCCAGCCCUUCCUGCCCUGGGGCCAGGAGACCCAGGCCUGGAGCCCUGUGAGAGAGCGGACUUCUGACAGCCGAAGCCCCGGAGAUCUGGAGCCGUCCCACCACCCCUCUGCCUUCGAAACAGAGACGUCCUCGGACUGGGAGCCCCCAGCCGAGUCCCAGGAGCGAACCAGUCCCAGCAGGCCCGCCACCCCGGGCCCGGUGCUGGGCAAGGCCCUGGUCAAAGGCCUGCACGACAGCCAACGCCUGCAGUGGGAGGUGAGCUUCGAACUGGGGCCCCCUGGACCGGAGAGGGGCGGCGCGCGGGAUGCCGACCUAUGGAGCGAGACCUUCCACCACCUGGCGGCCCGUGCCAUCAUCCGCGACUUCGAGCAGCUGGCGGAGCGCAAGGGCGAGAUCGAGCAGGGGUCCAACCGCCGCUACCAAGUGAGCGCCGUGCACACCAGCAAGGCCUGCAACAUCAUUAGCAAAUACACAGCCUUCGUGCCUGUGGACAUGAGCAAGAGCCGGUACCUGCCCACCAUGGUGGAGUACCCCAACUCUGGAGCUGCCCUGCGUAUGCUCAGCUCUCGGGCCCUGGCCCAGCAGUGGAGGGGCACCUCUUCUGGCUUUGGACGGCCGCAGACGAUGCUUGGAGAAGAUUCAGUACCAGGAAAUGGUCCCCGGCGCAGCCUGGCCACAAAUAUUCUUUCUUCCGUGAAGGCCCCAGAGAAUCUCUUUGGAUCCAGGCUAAAUCUCAACAAGUCCAGGCUACUGACACGAGCAGCCAAGGGCUUCCUGAGCAAGCCACUGAUCAAAGCUAUAGAGUCGACCUCCGGGAACCAGAGCUUCGACUACGUACCGCUGGUGUCUCUGCAGCUGGCCUCCGGAGCCUUCCUGCUCAACCAAGCCUUCUGUGAGGCCACGCACAUCCCCAUGGAGAAGCUCAAGUGGACGUCCCCCUUCAGCUGCCACCGAGUGUCGCUCACCACCCGCCCGUCUGAGUCCAAGACCCCGAGUCCCCAGCUGUGCACCAGCUCCCCGCCUAGGCACCCCUCCUGUGACAGCUUCUCCCUGGAGCCUCUGGCCAAGGGCAAGCUGAGCCUGGAGCCGAGGGCAGUGGUGGAGCACACUGGGAAGCUGUGGGCCACAGUGGUGGGGCUGGCAUGGCUGGAGCACAGUUCGGCCUCCUACUUUACUGAGUGGGAGUUGGUGGCCGCCAAGGCCAACUCAUGGCUGGAGCAGCAGGAAGUACCUGAGGGCCGCACGCAGGGCACACUCAAGGCCGCUGCCCGCCAGCUGUUUGUGCUUCUGCGGCACUGGGAUGAGAAUC